GGGUUGUGAGGUUAAGCGACUAAGCGUACACGGUGGAUGCCCUGGCAGUCAGAGGCGAUGAAGGACGUGCUAAUCUGCGAUAAGCGUCGGUAAGGUGAUAUGAACCGUUAUAACCGGCGAUUUCCGAAUGGGGAAACCCAGUGUGUUUCGACACACUAUCAUUAACUGAAUCCAUAGGUUAAUGAGGCGAACCGGGGGAACUGAAACAUCUAAGUACCCCGAGGAAAAGAAAUCAACCGAGAUUCCCCCAGUAGCGGCGAGCGAACGGGGAGCAGCCCAGAGCCUGAAUCAGUGUGUGUGUUAGUGGAAGCGUCUGGAAAGGCGCGCGAUACAGGGUGACAGCCCCGUACACAAAAAUGCACAUGCUGUGAGCUCGAUGAGUAGGGCGGGACACGUGGUAUCCUGUCUGAAUAUGGGGGGACCAUCCUCCAAGGCUAAAUACUCCUGACUGACCGAUAGUGAACCAGUACCGUGAGGGAAAGGCGAAAAGAACCCCGGCGAGGGGAGUGAAAAAGAACCUGAAACCGUGUACGUACAAGCAGUGGGAGCACAGAGCAAUCUGUGUGACUGCGUACCUUUUGUAUAAUGGGUCAGCGACUUAUAUUCUGUAGCAAGGUUAACCGAAUAGGGGAGCCGAAGGGAAACCGAGUCUUAACUGGGCGUUAAGUUGCAGGGUAUAGACCCGAAACCCGGUGAUCUAGCCAUGGGCAGGUUGAAGGUUGGGUAACACUAACUGGAGGACCGAACCGACUAAUGUUGAAAAAUUAGCGGAUGACUUGUGGCUGGGGGUGAAAGGCCAAUCAAACCGGGAGAUAGCUGGUUCUCCCCGAAAGCUAUUUAGGUAGCGCCUCGUGAAUUCAUCUCCGGGGGUAGAGCACUGUUUCGGCAAGGGGGUCAUCCCGACUUACCAACCCGAUGCAAACUGCGAAUACCGGAGAAUGUUAUCACGGGAGACACACGGCGGGUGCUAACGUCCGUCGUGAAGAGGGAAACAACCCAGACCGCCAGCUAAGGUCCCAAAGUCAUGGUUAAGUGGGAAACGAUGUGGGAAGGCCCAGACAGCCAGGAUGUUGGCUUAGAAGCAGCCAUCAUUUAAAGAAAGCGUAAUAGCUCACUGGUCGAGUCGGCCUGCGCGGAAGAUGUAACGGGGCUAAACCAUGCACCGAAGCUGCGGCAGCGACGCUUAUGCGUUGUUGGGUAGGGGAGCGUUCUGUAAGCCUGCGAAGGUGUGCUGUGAGGCAUGCUGGAGGUAUCAGAAGUGCGAAUGCUGACAUAAGUAACGAUAAAGCGGGUGAAAAGCCCGCUCGCCGGAAGACCAAGGGUUCCUGUCCAACGUUAAUCGGGGCAGGGUGAGUCGACCCCUAAGGCGAGGCCGAAAGGCGUAGUCGAUGGGAAACAGGUUAAUAUUCCUGUACUUGGUGUUACUGCGAAGGGGGGACGGAGAAGGCUAUGUUGGCCGGGCGACGGUUGUCCCGGUUUAAGCGUGUAGGCUGGUUUUCCAGGCAAAUCCGGAAAAUCAAGGCUGAGGCGUGAUGACGAGGCACUACGGUGCUGAAGCAACAAAUGCCCUGCUUCCAGGAAAAGCCUCUAAGCAUCAGGUAACAUCAAAUCGUACCCCAAACCGACACAGGUGGUCAGGUAGAGAAUACCAAGGCGCUUGAGAGAACUCGGGUGAAGGAACUAGGCAAAAUGGUGCCGUAACUUCGGGAGAAGGCACGCUGAUAUGUAGGUGAAGUCCCUCGCGGAUGGAGCUGAAAUCAGUCGAAGAUACCAGCUGGCUGCAACUGUUUAUUAAAAACACAGCACUGUGCAAACACGAAAGUGGACGUAUACGGUGUGACGCCUGCCCGGUGCCGGAAGGUUAAUUGAUGGGGUUAGCGCAAGCGAAGCUCUUGAUCGAAGCCCCGGUAAACGGCGGCCGUAACUAUAACGGUCCUAAGGUAGCGAAAUUCCUUGUCGGGUAAGUUCCGACCUGCACGAAUGGCGUAAUGAUGGCCAGGCUGUCUCCACCCGAGACUCAGUGAAAUUGAACUCGCUGUGAAGAUGCAGUGUACCCGCGGCAAGACGGAAAGACCCCGUGAACCUUUACUAUAGCUUGACACUGAACAUUGAGCCUUGAUGUGUAGGAUAGGUGGGAGGCUUUGAAGUGUGGACGCCAGUCUGCAUGGAGCCGACCUUGAAAUACCACCCUUUAAUGUUUGAUGUUCUAACGUUGACCCGUAAUCCGGGUUGCGGACAGUGUCUGGUGGGUAGUUUGACUGGGGCGGUCUCCUCCUAAAGAGUAACGGAGGAGCACGAAGGUUGGCUAAUCCUGGUCGGACAUCAGGAGGUUAGUGCAAUGGCAUAAGCCAGCUUGACUGCGAGCGUGACGGCGCGAGCAGGUGCGAAAGCAGGUCAUAGUGAUCCGGUGGUUCUGAAUGGAAGGGCCAUCGCUCAACGGAUAAAAGGUACUCCGGGGAUAACAGGCUGAUACCGCCCAAGAGUUCAUAUCGACGGCGGUGUUUGGCACCUCGAUGUCGGCUCAUCACAUCCUGGGGCUGAAGUAGGUCCCAAGGGUAUGGCUGUUCGCCAUUUAAAGUGGUACGCGAGCUGGGUUUAGAACGUCGUGAGACAGUUCGGUCCCUAUCUGCCGUGGGCGCUGGAGAAUUGAGGGGGGCUGCUCCUAGUACGAGAGGACCGGAGUGGACGCAUCACUGGUGUUCGGGUUGUCAUGCCAAUGGCACUGCCCGGUAGCUAAAUGCGGAAGAGAUAAGUGCUGAAAGCAUCUAAGCACGAAACUUGCCCCGAGAUGAGUUCUCCCUGACUCCUUGAGAGUCCUGAAGGAACGUUGAAGACGACGACGUUGAUAGGCCGGGUGUGUAAGCGCAGCGAUGCGUUGAGCUAACCGGUACUAAUGAACCGUGAGGCUUAACCUUACAACGCCGAAG
rnacentral:rRNA from 1 species